UUUUUUCUUUUUUCUUUUUUUGUCCUUUUGCCUUUUCUAGGGCCGCUCCUGCAGCAUAUGGAAGUGCCCAGGCUAGGGGUCUAAUCGGAGCCGUAGCCACCAGCCUACACCAGAGCCACAGCAACUCGGGAUCCUAGCCGCGUCUGCAACCUACACCACAGCUCACGGCAACGCCGGAUCCUCAACCCACUGAGCAAGAAGUAGCUCGACACUAGAAGCCAAACCUCCCCCAAGGCACCCAAGUCUCCAGUGUUGCACAGGUCGGAAGGGACCCCUUCCCCUCUUCACAGAGGCCGUCACUCCCCAUGUACAACUCAGACGCAGACCCGCAACGGCCCGAGACGCCCCUGGGUGCUCAGCACACACCUGCUGUCUGUCAUCUGCUUCUUAUUCGUAUCAGACCUCAUUCUCAUCCAUCUCAGGUCCUGGGCCCCAUUCCCAAACACACACUAGCCCCAGGUAUUUAGGGGACUAACAGGUCUUUAUCAACCUCACUUCCUGGGCUCACUUUGGCAGCACAUACACCAAAACUGGAAUGAUGUAGAGAAGGACAGCGUGGCCCCUGCGCAAGGAUGACACACAAAUUCGUGAAGCUUUCCAUGUUUUCUGCAAACGAUAAUAUUUAGAAUGGAUGGGCAAUGAGUCCUACUGUGUCCAGUCUCUUGGGAUAGAACAUGAUGGGCAAUGAUAUGAAGACAUGUGUGUGUGUGUGUUUAUGUGUGUGUGUAUGUGUGUGCGCGUGUAUAUGCAUUGUGUAUAUGUGUAAUUGUGUGUACAUGUGUGUGCACAUGUGUGUGCAUGUGUACAUGUGUAUGUACAUUGUGUGUGUGCAUGUGUGUAUACGUGUGUGCAUGUGUGUAUGUGUGUGCGUGUGUGUAAAUGUGUAUGUUUAUAUGUGUGUACAUGUGUGUGCGUGUAUAUGUGUUGUGUGUGUAUAAAUGUGUGUACAUGUGUGUACGUGUGUGCAUUGUGUACGUGUGUAUAUAUGUUGUGUAUGUAUACAUGUGUGUGCAUGUGUGUAUAUGUGUGUGUGAAUGUGUAUGUGUAAAUGUGUAUGUUUUUAUAUGUGUACACGUGUGUGUAUGUGUGUGUGUGUGUAUAUAUGUGUAU
rnacentral:lncRNA from 1 species